AUAUUCCCCCAUCUGUUUCCAUGACAUAGCAGAAAAUCUCAUAUUUGUGUAACAUCAGACAUUCCAUGAAGCUUCUGUUCAUGUUAAAUAAGAUGUUUUCCUUUAUUUGUAUUAAUGAAUGAAAUUGUGCAAAUUACGAUGGGCUAUGGCGUAUGGGAAUCCUUGCCUUUUACUUCUCUAUUUCAAGUAAAUUCUUUUAUCAUCAUUAUCCUUUUUCUUGUGCAUUGAAUGUCGAUUUUAGCUCAAAAAAUGGGAGGUAUAUGAAUAUAUAAGAUACCAGUCAAUUUCAUGGGAUGUCUGAUGCGUCUAAUGAGAUAUGAAUUCAAUUUCAAUUCAGAAUAAGAGCUCAAGAAAUGGAAUAGUCCGAAUUGAAAACAGUAGGUUUUGGCAAUGAUGUUUGAAUAUUUUAUCACUGCAGCACAUUAACUAGUGAAUGCUUGUUCACUGGUUGGUUUUAAGCGACGAGCUACUUCACCUAGCACUAUUCUAAUUCUUAUUCUGGUUUUCUUGAUUUGAAUAUAAUGUAUGUUUUUCUCUUCUUGGAAGGUAUUGAUUCACUAUUCCUGGAGAUUAGUGAAGAUGUUCUUUUGUUUUCCAGCUUUGAGACACUAGUUGGAUAUGAAAAGGUGUUCCUCAUAUUUGUGAUGACAACAAUGGAAAUUCUUUAUGUUCUUAUCAGAAAGACCCCGGUGCAAAGUUUGGAUUCAUGCUUCAAAUUGAGCACAAAAUGAAUCAUUUAUUUCCAUCACAUAGUAUCCUCCUCUUUAAACUUGUUUACCCACUAUAUAGAGCUUUAAUUCACAUCCUUUUCUUACGUAAUUGUUUCUUCUGCAGUUUAAUGGCUUCAUUGAUUUGGAUGCAUAUGAUAUACCACAUCAUUAAAAGUUAAAGGAGAUUGAUGAUCCUACAUAUCCAUGAUCGAACAGAAAACUGGGAACCGACCUGGACAAGAAGAAGCUGGUUUCAGGCAGGUUAAAGUAUUUGUACCGUCCCAUAGACAACUGGUUCCUCGAAAUGGCAAGUUCUACCUUUCUCAUUGUUUCUUGCUUAAAGAGUUGAUAUCAUGGACCUGGCCGUCAUGCUAAGAGUUUCAUGUUUAUUGACUUAUUGAGUCAUCAAUAUCUUUCUGCCUAUCUCGGUACCAUUGAUCAUGUGAUAUGUAUAUAGAAAUAGAUCAACACCAGGACACUUGGAAAAUAUGACUGCUCAUACAUAGCACUCACAACUUUGUUAAGGCAAUGUGAAUAAACUAUUGGCCUUCUGGAGCUCUGCUAAGUUUUGCAUGAUCUUCAGAAAUCUACCAACAUGGAGAGGGAUUGUUAUCUACUCCGAGAUGGAAAUCAAUCCUCCCAUGUUGUUGGCAUGUCUCUCUCAGUCAAUGCAUAAGGUAGGUGUCCCAGGUGCAAAAGCUCGUGUCCCAGGUUUUUGGCCAGGUGAUUUCAAGUUGGAUGAUUUAAGUGCUCAUGUGAUGUCGUACGAUAUUUUCGAGAGAUUCAGUAGCAAUCAAAUUUUGUUUUAUGGUAAUUAGCUUGUCAGAAGGUUUGAUAAUACACAACAAAUGAAUGCUCCUGCUGCUAUAA